rnacentral:rRNA from 1 species
ACUACGGAGAGUUUGAUCCUGGCUCAGGACGAACGCUGGCGGCGGGCUUAACACAUGCAAGUCGAACGAGAAGCCGAGUGCUUGCACUCGGUGGAAAGUGGCGCACGGGUGAGUAACGCGUAGGCAACCUACCCUUAGCUGGGGAACAACCAGGGGAAACCCUGGCUAAUACCCCAUGAUGUCGGAAUACCGCAUGGUGCUCCGAUCAAAGCUCAGGCGGCUAAGGAUGGGCCUGCGUUGGAUUAGCUAGUUGGUGGAGUAACGGCCCACCAAGGCAACGAUCUAUAGCGGGUCUGAGAGGAUGAUCCGCCACACUGGCACUGAGACACGGGCCAGACUCCUACGGGAGGCAGCAGUGAGGAAUAUUGCGCAAUGGACGAAAGUCUGACGCAGCCACGCCGCGUGCAGGAAG